rnacentral:ribozyme from 1 species
AAAAUGGUAGAGAGAGGAAAAAAGAUGAGAGGAAAAAAUGGGAGAAAAAUAUUUUUUUUUAUUUUGUUUAUAUAUAUUUUUUUUUUAUUUAUAUUU